UACGAGGGGGGGCAAGCGUUGUUCGGAAUUAUUGGGCGUAAAGGGUGCGUAGGCGGUCUGACAAGUCUGAUGUGAAAUCUAUGGGCUCAACCCAUAGUCUGCAUCGGAAACUGUCGGGCUCGAGUUUGGGAGAGGGAUGCGGAAUUCCAGGUGUAGCGGUGAAAUGCGUAGAUAUCUGGAGGAACACCGGUGGCGAAGGCGGCAUCCUGGACCAACACUGACGCUGAUGAGCGAAAGCCAGGGGAGCAAACGGG
rnacentral:rRNA from 1 species